UACGAAGGGGGCUAGCGUUGUUCGGAAUCACUGGGCGUAAAGCGCACGUAGGCGGAUUUUUAAGUCAGGGGUGAAAUCCCGAGGCUCAACCUCGGAACUGCCUUUGAUACUGGGGAUCUGGAGUCCGGGAGAGGUGAGCGGAACUGCGAGUGUAGAGGUGAAAUUCGUAGAUAUUCGCAAGAACACCAGUGGCGAAGGCGGCUCACUGGCCCGGAACUGACGCUGAGGUGCGAAAGCGUGGGGAGUAAACAGG
rnacentral:rRNA from 1 species